AGAAAAACGUUUCACUUUUACAGAGAAACCCUAUAGUCAUUUCAAUUCAGUCCGCACUCCUCCCCUUCGUCUUAUCCAUUCUGUCCUGCGCCGGCGACUUCGCCCAACCCGUCGUGCGCCAGCGGCCGCCAUGCCUCGCGCGGAAGGAUGGAGGGCGCUCGCCGUGAGGAUGGACGGCGCGGAGAGGCGCGCUCGCGCCCGAGCUCCUGUGCCCAUGCCUCGCGCCUCCUUGCACCGCUCCGGCAGCCCCUCGCCAUCCGCCGUCGUGGGCGACCACCAGCAGCGCCCGUCGCGCCUCUCCGCGCGCCACUCGGAGGCCCCAGCCAGGCCGCGCAGCCGUCCUCCUCCUCGACCUCGCCUCUCCGUGCGCCAACCGGCGCCGCCGCCGGCGGCCACGGGUCCAGCGCCGCCUUCGUCCUCCACCUUCUCCUAAAGCGCGCGUCCGCCGCGGGCGCUGGCGGUGGCGCGGCGGUCCUUGCCCUCGAUCUCACCGAGGAAGGCGUCCUUGCCGAGCAGCUCGACGAGAGCGCUGCCAAUGUCGCUGAACUGAAUCGCCAGCCAUCUCAGCCCACGUCUUUCAGCACGCAACCGGCGAACCCAUUCAGCAGCUCCUGGGCAAACAGCUUUGACCCCUGUUAACACGUUAUGAGGAUCCAUGGCCUCUUCUUCUAUUUCUUCAGUGCUACCAUCUUGAAACUGGUGCAGUUUCUGCUGCAUCUUCCUGACACUGGUCCUCAACUAGCUUAUUUUGCUCUUCUUUCUGAAGAUCCAUGGCCUGCUUUUCCAAUUGUUGAGUGGGUACAGAAGUCUUCAUAUCAUCACCUAAUUGAUUGCAAACAAAAUUCUCAUCACUUUCAGAUACGACAGUCAAGACACAUAAUGCGGGACACUGCAACUACAGAAAGGCAUGGGACACGCACGGAUUUAAGUCCAUGUCAGGGGCAUCACCUGUCUCAUGUUCGCAGGAGGAAGAAGCUCCAAGUUCGCCGGAGGUACACAAACAUCCGUUGAGCACUCCAAUGUCGCGGCGUCUACACCAGAGGUGCCAAAGGUGUCUCAGGUGGAGGCGAAGGAGGUUCUUCUAAUUCCUAAGGCACCAGACUGGACAUUCCUAUGUUGACUACCAUUUAUGGUCAAUAAAGUUGUCCGUGUUUGUUUUUGAUUGCUCAACUAAAUAUCUGAAGUCCAAUGAUGUAUGCAUUCAUGUUUCUCCUCUAAGGCACAAAGACUGGACAUUCCUAUGGUGACUAUAUCAUUCAUGCUCAAUAUAGUUGUCUGUAUUUGUUUUCAAUUGCUCACCUGAAUAUCUGAAGCCAAAUGUUUUUUUAUCAUUGGCUAUAUCAGAUAAUCCCAAUAGUCCCUAAUCUUGCAAAUCAUGUUUUUUUUGUUUAAAUUUAUCUUUCUCUUGAGAUAAUCUGAAGAAAUUUAAGUUGUUUCCAGUGGCAAAGAGCAUCAUAAACUAUUGUUACAAGUCUAUCAUAUAUUUCUCAAAUUUUAUAAGAUAUUCAUUGGCAUGCAUUUUAAAUGAUGAUUAAGGUAUUUCUCAGUAUGUUGUGUUAUUUCACUGAUGGGGGUUUGCACGUAUUCUGAUUUCUAAACAAAUCUCAAUUUCUCAAUUUCUUUGCAGAAACAAUAAUUAUCCAGAAGUAGCCUAAUUAUAUGUAUUUGUGUUCGCACAUAUACAUCGUAACUAUGCUAAGGGGUAUUUAUAUGAACUUGGUUCAGGGCCAACAAUACCAGCUGUAGUGCUGAAACAAGCACGAUUCCAUCAUUUGUUACCGGUUCCUUUUGCUCGAUAGCAGGCUCUUUUUGUUGGAUGUGGUAUAAUUAUAUGCCGACAGAUAUUGACAGGUGUAUAAUGUAGUAUAUAUUCCUAAUUCCUCCAAUGUCUUAAUAGCAUGAAGAAUGUAGCACUUCAGGUCCUCAUCAAGUAAGGUUUCCAUUUAAGCAUGGUGUCCAUGCAUGCUAUUGUUAACUUUGCUGACAAUGGCAGCUUAGUGAUCACCGUGUUUGUUAAAUUUAAUUUUCACCUCCGUGUAAUGUAUCAUAGUACUAUGCACAAAGAUACUUCAACACUAAAGCUCGCACCUAACUUGCUCGGGUCUCGGCUCAUGAUUCUUUCAACUUUCAUGUAGUGCUGCUGAAAUAUUAUGUAACACUCAAAUUUGAUGAUAUUUUUAAUGGGCACAACUGUGCCGGUAGAGGUUGACAGUUAAUGAAUUUUGUGAUAAUCUUCGGUUAUACUGUUAUAUAUAGCACUUUGCUGGUUAUAUGGUUCACAUUCUCUGAGCCAAUUCACAAUGACCAUUCCUGAUUUGGGCAUUAUGUUUUUAAAUCAUUUUGUAACAUUUUGGUUGAUUUUUUAUGCUGCUCCUUAAUUUUUUUCAUUGACUGGUGUUGAACUAAAUGAGUGUUGCCAUUCACAGGAUGCCCAGUACAACCGAAGAUGGGUUCCCGAUUGUUCCUAGAUAUUUCAGAGCAACUAGAGUGGUCUUACCUGACAAGCUCCAAUGUUGUGCUGAAGUAUUUUGAACAAGCUUGUCCUUUGCCUUAUGCUGGAACAAGGCACCUUCUAUUCCCCAUGGGCACCAAGAAUGCGAAAACAUUGAUGAUUCGAGCAAAUGUAAGUUCAGGCUUCAAGAUUGAGCCGAGCGCCCUACCAGCAGAUCUGGAUAAUGCAUACAAGAAUGAGAAAGCAUAUCAGCGAUUGGAUAUUUCUGGCCCUACAGUUAACCCUUUUGUUUUUUCCUGUACGGCGAGGGCGAGAUAAAAGAUAUGUUUUCUGUUUGUGCUGAGCAUGGAGCUUGGGUAGUGAUAGACACCUUCUCUGGUCUGGAGUUCCACAACAGAGAUGGCUGGAUUUUGCGGAACGGGAGGAUAUUUUCACAAGCCCAAACCGACCACAUAGCACUUUGAAAUGCACUUAUAGGAAGUUGUUGGUUUUGAAAAACAAGAGGGAUCAACAUUUCUCUAAUCUCAUCACGCCAACAAACUGACGAAGACACUCGAGAGCUGUGGUUGGGAUGUCGCCACGUACCACUGUGGGAUGUCGCCAGGUACCACUGUGACACGCGUACAUCGGCAAAUCGUUCAGGGUGGAUGAUUUUGAAGGCGAGCUCGACGGCUGCAAUAUCAGGGAAGCCCUACUGAACUACUGCAGGUUCAGCUUACCAUGUAGUAUUUUCUUUACAACAAGGCCUCACACGAGCAAAACUGUCAUCUUGUUGUUUAGUUUUGGCCCGGGACUGCAAUUUUUUCCCUUAUUGCAUUCUUUAGUGCAUAAAAUAAAAUAUAUAAUGUGCAUAAAAGCCGAAAACAACCAUUACGAUCAUAGUAGGCGAACUGAAAUUGUAGGGAUAUAAAGCAGUACCUGAACAUACAAAAGCUGGCCACAACUCUGUCUUCAAUUCCAUCUUGUUUCCAGAUUUCAGGAGUAGAUCAUCACCACCAUUACAGAUCAGGCUCUUUGUCAGUGCAAAUAACAGACUAACACCACAAGGACUUCAUUAACCUUAGCCACUUCUUAUGGGUACAUGAGAACUAAAAAAAUUCAUCUGUUAAAAUUUGUUUUUUUUGACUUUUUGGACUAAUUCAUGUGCAGAAUUUAUAUUUUCAAUUAGACUGAUUUAUUGUAGUUUUAUCAACGACUAUAGUAUAUUAAGAUGUGGGCACUAUAUCGAAAGUGUUGUUCUACACCCGAGGUCAUGUGAGCUUGGUUGAACAGUAAAAGAAAUAAAAAAUGGAAAAACAAUUCAAAAAAUGUGAUUUCUUUCCGUGUGAGACACUGAAAAAAUGUUUAUUAGCUUGCAAAAUUUCAAUACUAUCUUUCUUGACUGAUUGUUUGUGGUCUGCCAUGAGCCCACGACGUAGCCAUCUGCAUCUGCCUCGCCUUGAGGCCACAGCAGCACCCCUGCCCUUCUGCUCCUGCUGGCGACCGCAACCCUCUGGCGGCAGCAACACCGCUCUCGUGUGCUGGCCUUGCUGUCUCAUCUCCUCUCUCUCUCAUGUUUGGGUAUGAUGUUAGCGUUAUGUGUGUGUGGAUGGAUAUGAUGCUACCAUGGUGUGUGUAAAAAUCUAUUUUUGGUUUAUUUCUCUUUGGAGUAUUGCUGUUGGAGAUGAGCUUAAGAGGCGAAAGAGUAAAGAUCUGGUAAGCUGUUUGUAUUGCUUCAGGAGAAUCUUUUAUCACUGUUUUUGGGACUGUAUUUAUGUCAAAGAGGCAUGUAGGGAGCUGGAACAAAUUUGUUACUUCUCAUGGCCACUUUUUUGAACAUGAUUAUUGAGCUUGACUAUGCGGAGGUAGGAAAAAAUAUCAGCGUAAUGGGUUUGAGAGA